GAUGAACGCUGGCGGCGUGCCUAAUACAUGCAAGUCGAGCGAACAGAUGAGGAGCUUGCUCCUCUGACGUUAGCGGCGGACGGGUGAGUAACACGUGGAUAACCUUCCUAUAAGACUGGGAUAACUUCGGGAAACCGGAGCUAAUACCGGAUAAUAUAUUGAACCGCAUGGUUCAAUAGUGAAAGACGGUUUUGCUGUCACUUAUAGAUGGAUCCGCGCCGCAUUAGCUAGUUGGUAAGGUAACGGCUUACCAAGGCAACGAUGCGUAGCCGACCUGAGAGGGUGAUCGGCCACACCGGAACUGAGACACGGUCCAGACUCCUACGGGAGGCAGCAGUAGGGAAUCUUCCGCAAUGGGCGAAAGCCUGACGGAGCAACGCCGCGUGAGUGAUGAAGGUCUUCGGAUCGUAAAACUCUGUUAUUAGGGAAGAACAAAUGUGUAAGUAACUAUGCACGUCUUGACGGUACCUAAUCAGAAAGCCACGGCUAACUACGUG
rnacentral:rRNA from 1 species